rnacentral:rRNA from 1 species
CAGUCGCCGCGGUAAUACGUAGGUCCCGAGCGUUGUCCGGAUUUAUUGGGCGUAAAGCGAGCGCAGGCGGUUAGAUAAGUCUGAAGUUAAAGGCUGUGGCUUAACCAUAGUACGCUUUGGAAACUGUUUAACUUGAGUGCAGAAGGGGAGAGUGGAAUUCCAUGUGUAGCGGUGAAAUGCGUAGAUAUGUGGAGGAACACCGGUGGCGAAAGCGGCUCUCUGGUCUGUAACUGACGCUGAGGCUCGAAAGCGUGGGGAGCAAACAGGAUUAGAUACCCCGGUAGUCCCUGUCUCUUAUACA